GGGACCAUGAUGCGCGGAUCUUCAGAGAUUAGAGUUUGAUCAUGGCUCAGAUUGAACGCUGGCGGAAUGCUUUACACAUGCAAGUCGAACGGCAGCACGGGAGCUUGCUCCUGGUGGCGAGUGGCGGACGGGUGAGUAAUAUAUCGGAACGUAUCUGUUAAUGGGGGAUAACUAGCCGAAAGGUUAGCUAAUACCGCAUACGCCCUGAGGGGGAAAGCUGGGGAUCUUCGGACCUGGCGUUAAUAGGGCGGCCGAUACCUGAUUAGCUAGUUGGUGGGGUAAAGGCCUACCAAGGCGACGAUCAGUAGCUGGUCUGAGAGGACGACCAGCCACACUGGGACUGAGACACGGCCCAGACUCCUACGGGAGGCAGCAGUGGGGAAUUUUGGACAAUGGGGGCAACCCUGAUCCAGCCAUUCCGCGUGAGUGAAGAAGGCCUUCGGGUUGUAAAGCUCUUUCGCAAGGGAAGAAACGAUGUAAGUGAAUAGCUUAUGUUAAUGACGGUACCUUGAUAAGAAGCACCGGCUAACUACGUGCCAGCAGCCGCGGUAAUACGUAGGGUGCAAGCGUUAAUCGGAAUUACUGGGCGUAAAGCGUGCGCAGGCGGUUUUGUAAGUCAGAUGUGAAAUCCCCGAGCUCAACUUGGGAACUGCGUUUGAAACUACAAGACUAGAAUAUGUCAGAGGGGGGUAGAAUUCCACGUGUAGCAGUGAAAUGCGUAGAGAUGUGGAGGAAUACCAAUGGCGAAGGCAGCCCCCUGGGAUAAUAUUGACGCUCAUGCACGAAAGCGUGGGGGAGCGAACAGGAUUAGAUACCCUGGUAGUCCACGCCCUAAACGAUGUCAACUAGUUGUUGGUGGAGUAAAAUCCGUGAGUAACGUAGCUAACGCGUGAAGUUGACCGCCUGGGCGAGUACGGUCGCAAGAUUAAAACUCAAAUGAAUUGACGGGGGCCCGCACAAGCGGUGGAUUAUGUGGAUUAUUUCGAUGCAACGCGAAAAACCUUACCUGGCCUUGACAUGUACGGAACUU
rnacentral:rRNA from 1 species